GUUUAAAAGAGUUUGAUCAUAGCUCAGGAUGAACGCUAGCGGUGCGCCUAACACAUGCAAGUCGAACGGUGACGAGAGGAAGCUUGCUUCUUCUCUGAUCAGUGGCAAACGGGUGAGUAACGAGUUUGUACCUGCCCCAAAGUGAGGGAUAGCCCAUUGAAAGAUGGAUUAAUACCGCAUAUGUCCUACGGGAUAAAGCCGCAAGGCGCUUUGGGAGGGGCAUGCUUUCUAUCAGCUAGUUGGUGAGGUAAUAGCUCACCAAGGCUUUGACGGAUAGCUGGUCUGAGAGGACGACCAGCCACAAUGGAACUGAGACACGGUCCA
rnacentral:rRNA from 1 species